GACGAACGCUGGCGGCGUGCUUAACACAUGCAAGUCGAACGGAAAGGUCCUGCUUUUGUGGGGUGCUCGAGUGGCGAACGGGUGAGUAACACGUGAGUAACCUGCCCUUGACUUUGGGAUAACUUCAGGAAACUGGGGCUAAUACCGGAUAGGAGCUCCUGCUGCAUGGUGGGGGUUGGAAAGUUUCGGCGGUUGGGGAUGGACUCGCGGCUUAUCAGCUUGUUGGUGGGGUAGUGGCUUACCAAGGCUUUGACGGGUAGCCGGCCUGAGAGGGUGACCGGCCACAUUGGGACUGAGAUACGGCCCAGACUCCUACGGGAGGCAGCAGUGGGGAAUAUUGCACAAUGGGCGGAAGCCUGAUGCAGCAACGCCGCGUGCGGGAUGAUGGCCUUCGGGUUGUAAACCGCUUUCGCCUGUGACGAAGCGUGAGUGACGGUAAUGGGUAAAGAAGCACCGGCUAACUACGUG
rnacentral:rRNA from 1 species